CAACCAGAAUUUAAGUCGAUCUGAUGCGAAGAAGCUUCUGGAAAGUGAGUAUUCCAUUCCUAUAAUUUCCUCUUGAUGUCCGAGUCUCCGCACUGGUUCCGCAUUCGCCGCCCCUUCCCUUCCAGAUCCCCCCGGCCUCCGCCCGCUAGAUGGCUUCUUCCACCCCCGCCUCUCCUCCGCCGCCAGAGUCUCCUGCCGUCGUCGACCGGGGAGCGCCGACGUCUCCAGGCUCUGAUGCUGAUGACAAUGACGUUGUCACCGAAGCUGCAGCAUUUGUGCAUAACGAACCUCUGCAAGAUGAUAUUGAUAUUCCAAAAGUUCAAUCAGAUAUGGAUAUCCUUCAUGAGAAUGUCAAGAAGCAAAUUAUUAAGGAAGGCCAUGGUGGAAAGCCACCAAAGCUGUCGACUUGCUUCUUUCAUUAUAAAGCAUGGGCUAAAAGCACUUCACACAAGUUUGAAGAUACAUGGCAAGAGCAGAGGCCUACAGAAAUCAUAUUGGGGAAAGAAAAGAAAGAAAUGGCUGGUUUAGCCAUUGGUAUUGCUAGCAUGAAGAGCGGAGAACGGGCACUACUGCAUGUAGGUUGGGAACUAGGCUACGGCAAAGAGGGAAGUUUUUCAUUCCCAAAUGUACCUCCUAUGGCAGACCUUAUCUAUGAGGUUGAACUUAUUGGCUUUGAUGAGGCAAAAGAAGGAAAAGCCCGAAGUGACAUGACAGUGGAGGAGAGGAUUGAAGCUGCUGAAAGAAGGAAGGUGGAAGGGAAUGAUUACUUCAAGGAAGAAAAUCUUGAGGAAGCAAUGCAACAAUAUGAAAUGGCAAUAGCUUAUAUGGGAGAUGAUUUUAUGUUCCAACUGUUUGGAAAGUAUAGGGACAUGGCCUUGGCUGUAAAGAACCCAUGCCAUCUAAACAUGGCUGCAUGCCUAAUCAAACUUAAACGUUACCAGGAAGCUAUUGGUCACUGCACCAUUGUGAGUGCAUUCAUAACUUUUCCAGUAUUUCUCAAGAUGUUGUCUGUUCAAUUAUGUAUUAUUUUUGUGCAUUAUCUACUUAAGCAUUCCUUUCUAAAUUUCCUUAAUCUCCCAGAUCAUAUAAACAGAAAGGGUGAGUUUUAUAUGUACAAAAGAAAUAAAUCAUCAAGAUCCAUACACUUAUUGAUCAAAGUACUAGGCUCCUAGCACUUUUAUUUUUAGGUAUGAAUUUUUUAUAUGACUUGAACUCAGAGACAUAUUAGGUUGCUGUUUGUAACAAAAUACACAUAGCAGUUACAUUACCAGGGGAUUAAGCUUGUUAAUUGUAAGCGCUUUGUAUGAUGCUCGUAGAGUUGAAACUGUUUUGCUGUGAUAUGUUUAAACUGAUAGAUGAUUAUUUGGCGGGCUUAAAAACUUUCAUAGGUUAGUGUAAAGGAAGAUACACCAGGCAUCCAUAGAAGCAUCGGCCCAUAGAAGUCACAAUUUUACAAUCGUAUCUACUUAGCAAAUAAAGAGCAAAUCACAAGCAGGUAAGGGCUUGCACUUAAUGUGCUCUAUUUUUCAAGGAAAGAAGUGAUCUUUUUUGGGGAGAGUAUGAAAUGUUACAGGUAAAUAAAAAAGAAAAAGUAUCUUGCCCAUUCAGGUUUCCUGCCUUGCAAGAGACUAUUCAAGCUAGCUAGUUCAACACAAUUUCCUAUAGGACAGUUGAUAUAUUACAUUAAACCAUUAGCAAACACAAAAGUUUGUAGAAAUGCAUUUUUGAUGGAAAAAAAGGAAAUGUCUUGAGCAAUAAAACCUCACUCUUUUGUGCACUAGCGGACAUGGUUAUUCCAUUGAACCACUUCUGCUGGUUACUUUCAUGAUUUUCUCACAUUCUAUAAAUGGAAAGUGAUUUUCUACCUUUAUAUCUUAAGGUGUUGUCAGAA